GGAUCGGAGGGGGACUGGAUCUGUUAGCAGUGAAAUGCGUAGAUAUUCAAGAGGAACACAGUGGCGAAGCGAGUCCCUGGACGAUACCUGACACUGAGGCACGAAAGCCAAGGGAGCAAACAGGAUUAGAUACCCUGGUAGUCUUGGCUGUAAACGGUGCGCAUUUGCUGUAAACGGAUGGCCCUUGGCAACAACUACGCGAUAAAUGCGCCGCCUGGGAAGUACGGUCGCAAGAUUAAAACUCAAAGAAAUUGACGGGGGCCUGCACAAGCGGUGGAGUAUGUGGCUUAAUUCGAUGCAACGCGAAGAACCUUACCUGGCCUUGACAUGCAUGUGGUAGAACCAUGAAAGUGGGACGACCCCGCAAGGGGAGCAUGCACAGGUGCUGCAUGGCUGUCGUCAGCUCGUGUCGUGAGAUGUUGGGUUAAGUCCCGCAACGAGCGCAACCCUUGUGUCCUGUUGCCACUCCUACGAGAGUAGGAAGCACUCUGGACAGACUGCCUCGCUUAAACGAGGAGGAAGGUGGGGAUGACGUCAAGUCAGUAUGGCCCUUACGGGCCAGGGCUGCACACGUACUACAAUGCAUGGCCCCAAAGGGAAGUUGACCGUCCAGGUGGAGCAAAUCCCAUAAAACCAUGCCCAGUUCAGAUUGUCGUCUGCAACUCGACGACAUGAAGCCGGAAUCGCUAGUAAUGGCGCAUCAGCUACGGCGCCGUGAAUACGUUCCCAGGCCUUGUACACACCGCCCGUCACAUCAUGAAAGCCGGUUGUACCCGAAGUCCGCAUUGCCAACCGCAAGGAGGCAGCGGC
rnacentral:rRNA from 1 species